UCAGUAACAGACCAAAAUACUGAUCAAAGUCCAACUCGGUGAACCCAUGAAUGUAUUGGAGUUGCUCACAGGAAUAUGGGUUGAGAGUUGCUCACAGGAGCCGCUCUGACUCAAAAGUCCCACCCCAGUAUGGGUGACUCCAGAAAGCGGGAGUCCUGGGGUUUUCUGUAGGACUGCAAGUAGAGGCCGGAGGUUGACACUGUGUGUCCUUCUCUAUGGGUCUCCACUGAAAGCUUGAGUCAAUCUUCCACGGAACCUGAUGCUCACUGAUUGGCUAGACUGUUCAUGGGCUCCCAAGGAAGAGGACUGUUCUGACUGGAAUGUGACGUGUCAGCCACAGGCUCAUAUGUUCGGACUCUUGGUGCCAGCUCACGGUGUUGUUUAGAGAGGACACACGUCCCUGGGGUGUGGGAUUUACUGAUGGAAGUACAUGACUGGGAACUGGACUUUGGAGGUUCUAUCUGCCUCUGGUUCUAGUCCCUUAUGUCAGGUCUACCUCACAACAAGGAAUGUAGCGAAUGCAGUAACUCUAGCUCAAGGAUUUGGGUCUCAGACUAAAGAAAACCUGCCAAUGCGAAAUGAUUCUCAUCCGCUGAAGAUUCUGGCUCCGUUGCAUGAUUCCCCAGCGUGAGCCUUGCAGAUGACAGUGUUGUGUUGCAGUGACACAAAGGUAUUGAAACUACCUCAACCCUGGGCUCGGAGCUGCAGGCUGACAGAGGGAAGCAGAGGCCUUUGCUUGGUGACUGGGAGACAUUGCAGAUGCUUCUGGCAGAUGUCUGGGCACAGAGGCUUUCAGAGAGAUGCUGGGUGCUCAGAGAGUGCUGACGCGGGGAAGCCUCUGAAGAAACCUCCUCCGGACUGGCUUCCGACCAAAGCUUCAAGACUCUCCUUCCUUCUAUCUCCAAUAUCUGCCCUUUACCACACAGAGAAUGACACUUAAUACAUCUUUUCCCUGGGGGCUGUCAUCCUGCUCUGGUCCUGUACUCUAAAGGCCUUAAAGUUGUGUAUUUUAAACCACUCUCUGCCAGGGCUCAUAAAACCAGGCCUGCAGAUCCCCCAACCUGCUCUGUGCUGCUCUAACAAGAACAGAGAACAUGAACAACAUACAUUUCUUUCUCAUUGUUCAGGAGGUUGGGACGUCUAUGAUAAGUCUGGCGUUUGGCAAGGGCUAUGGCUUAUUGUCACAUGAUGGAAUACCACCCACUUAUGCAGGACUUUAGAAUGAUGGGGUCUUUCUCAGCCCACAUAUACUUGACCCCUGGGACUCAGGUACCAGACGGUCAGUCACCAGUGACAGAAGUUGGCCUGCAAUAGUGAUUUCAAGUUCAUUGUCUCACAUCAACGAGGGAUAAAGUGGGGACCAGGGAGAAGUGGGCAAACAAGAAGUGUUUUUUUGUUUGUUUGUUUUUUUGUUUUUUUUUUUUUGUUUUUUGUAAGGAAAGUUAAAGAACAAAGAGAACAUGAAGGAAAAAGAGGGGUAACUGUUAGCAUUCUGUCUAAGCUCUGCCCCACAGUUACCUGGCAACAGCCAGGUAGGUCUGGCCCACUAUAAAAGGGG